AAAAGUUUCCACCCUGAAAGUUAUCCAUUCCGACAUUGAAAGAUUUCCACCAUUUCCAAGCAAAAAUCAUGAAUGUGUUUUCAUGAGUCAUUCUUCGAAGCAAAGCUGAAUCAACGCCGAGCGCGAAUAAGUUCUACAGACAAUAAGCAGCAUGAUUUACAUCGGACACAUAGCUUAUAUCAAGGACGUGAGGUUGGCACCGACCAACACAGAGCACAAUACCACAGAAUAUCCCACAAUAUCGCAUUGUGCACGGCGAUUGAGGAAGCAGUGCGAAGGAGCGAGCGCUGAUGUUGUGUGUAUCGGGGGGAUGGUUGAUUUUGACCUAUUUUCGUCGGGAUAACGCUGCGCUCGGUGACCUACAUUCAGUACGGCGCAAACUACGCAAAGGAAAAUCAAUUGUAUCCUUUCGCGCGUGCAGGAGAACAACUGUAGAGGACUACUACAGGAAUUCCACAGCAAAUAUUUUAUAAUAAAAUAAACUCUUUAUAAUGAAACACAAAUAAAAAAUAGAAAAUUGUUUUAAAAAACUCACCAGCGAUGUAACUGCUGUUUUCCGACGCGGCCAACAUAAUUGGUCUUCAAUCGGAUAACAAAUUUAAGUCUCUUCAAUAUAUCCGGUCAUAAUCUGUA